rnacentral:rRNA from 1 species
GUCUGCGGCCUAUCAGGUAGUAGUGGGUGUAGCGUACCUACUAGCCUACGACGGGUACGGGUUGUGAGAGCAAGAGCCCGGAGAUGGAUUCUGAGACACGAAUCCAGGCCCUACGGGGUGCAGCAGGCGCGAAAACUUUACAAUGCCGGCAACGGCGAUAAGGGGACCUCGAGUGCCAGGUUACAAAUCUGGCUGUCGUGAUGCCUAAAAAGCAUUGCAUAGCAAGGGCCGGGCAAGACCGGUGCCAGCCGCCGCGGUAACACCGGCGGCUCGAGUGGUAACCGUUAUUAUUGGGUCUAAAGGGUCUGUAGCCGGCCGGAUAAGUCUCUUGAGAAAUCUGGCAGCUUAACUGUCAGGCUUUCAGGAGAUACUGUCUGGCUCGAGGCCGGGAGAGGUGAGAGGUACUUCAGGGGUAGGGGUGAAAUCUUGUAAUCCUUGAAGGACCACCAGUGGCGAAGGCGUCUCACCAGAACGGACCUGACGGCAAGGGACGAAAGCUAGGGGCACGAACCGGAUUAGAUACCCGGGUAGUCCUAGCCGUAAACGAUACUCGCUAGGUGUCGGCCACGGUGCGACCGUUGUCGGUGCCGUAGGGAAGCCGUGAAGCGAGC